rnacentral:lncRNA from 1 species
UAUUCUGUACCAUUGAUCUUCAAGACUAUUUUGGUGCCAAAUACCAUACCAUUUUUGUUACUAUUUCUCUGUAGUAUAGUUUAAGGUCUGGUAUUGUGACGCCACCUGCUUCAUUCUUGCUAAGGAUUGCUUUGGCUAUUCUGGGUCUCUUAUUUUUCCAAAUGAAUUUCAUGAUUGCUUUUUCUAUUUCUAUAAGGAAUGUCAUUGGGAUUUUGAUUAUAAUUGCAUUAAAUCUGUAUAACACUUUUGGUAGUAUGAUCAUUUUGACAAUAUUAAUUCUGCCUAUCCAAGAAUAAGGGAGAUCUUUCCAUCUUCUAAGGUCUUCUUUAAUUUCUUUCUUUACCGCUAUAGUUUUCAUUGUAGAGGUCUUUUACCUCUUUUGUUAUGUUGAUUCCCAAGUAUGUUUUUUCAAGGCUAUUGUAAAUGAGGUAGUUUUCCUAAUUUCUCUUUCAGAGGAUUUGUCACUGAUAUACAGAAUUGCAUUUGAUUUAUGGAUGUUGAUGUUAUAUCCUUCUACUUUGCUGAAUUCAUUUAUUAAUUCUAGAAGGUUUCUGGUAGAAAUUUUCAGAUCCUUUAAGUAUAUAAUCAUGUCUUUGGCAAAUAGUGAUAGUUUGAGUUCUUCUUUUCCUAUUUGUAUCCCCUUAAUUUCUUUUGUCUUUCUAAUUGCUCUGGCUAGAGUUUCAAGAACUAUGUUAAAUAGAAGUGGUGAAAGAGGGCAUCCCUGUCUUGUUCCAGUUUUUAGAGGGAAUGCUUUCAAUUUUUUUCCAUUUAGAAUGAUGUUGGCCUUGGGGUUAGCAUAGAUAGCUUUUACAAUGUUAAUAUAUGUUCCUGUUAUCCCUAGUUUUUCUAGUGUUUUGAACAUGAAGGGUUAUUGCAUUUUGUCAAAUGCUUUUUCUGCAUCUACUGAAAUGAUCAUAUGAUUCUUAUUUUAAGUCUCUUGAUGUGAUUAAUUACAUUUAUUGAUUUCCAUAUGCUGAACCAACCUUGCAUCUCUGGGAUGAACCCCAAUUGAUUGUGGUGCACUAUCUUUUUAAUAUGUUUUUGUAUUCAAUUUUCAUAAUUUUAUUGACAAUUUCUACAUCUAUGUUUAUUAGAGAUAUUGGUCUGAAGUGUUCUUUCCUUGAUGUGUCUUUGUUUGGUUUUAGAAUCAGGUGAUACUAGUCUCAUAGAAUGAGUUUGGAAGUGUUCCUCUUUUACUAUUUCAUGGAAUAAUUGGGAGAGUCGGGUAUUAGUUCUUCUUUAAAGGUCUAGUAGAACUCAGCUAUGAAUACUCUGGUCCUGAGUUUUUCUUGAUUGGUAGGCUUUGAUGGCAUCUUCUAAUUUAUUGCUUGAAAUUUAUCUGUUUAACUUGUGUAUAUCAUCCUAAUUCCUUUUUGGUUGAUAAUAUGACUCUAGAAAUUUGUCAAUGUCUUCAAUAUUUUCUAUUUUGGG